GCUCCUAUAGCUCAGCGGUAGAGCGUGACUUUAGUAAGGUCAAGGUCCCAGGUUCGAGACCUGGUGGGAGCA
rfam:Monoraphidium neglectum strain SAG 48.87 unplaced genomic scaffold scaffold05513, whole genome shotgun sequence.